rnacentral:rRNA from 1 species
UGGGGAAUAUUGCACAAUGGGCGCAAGCCUGAUGCAGCCAUGCCGCGUGUAUGAAGAAGGCCUUCGGGUUGUAAAGUACUUUCAGCGAGGAGGAAGGCGAUGCGGUUAAUAACCGUGUCGAUUGACGUUACUCGCAGAAGAAGCACCGGCUAACUCCGUGCCAGCAGCCGCGAUAAUACGGAGGGUGCAAGCGUUAAUCGGAAUUACUGGGCGUAAAGCGCACGCAGGCGGUCUGUCAAGUCGGAUGUGAAAUCCCCGGGCUCAACCUGGGAACUGCAUUCGAAACUGGCAGGCUUGAGUCUUGUAGAGGGGGGUAGAAUUCCAGGUGUAGCGGUGAAAUGCGUAGAGAUCUGGAGGAAUACCGGUGGCGAAGGCGGCCCCCUGGACAAAGACUGACGCUCAGGUGCGAAAGCGUGGGGAGCAAACA